rnacentral:rRNA from 1 species
AGAGUUUGAUCCUGGCUCAGAGCGAACGCUGGCGGCAUGCCUAACACAUGCAAGUCGCACGGGCCUUGGGCUUCGGUUCAAGGUCAGUGGCGGACGGGUGAGGAACGCGUAGGGAUCUAUCCACGGGUGGGGGACAACCGCGGGAAACUGCGGCUAAUACCGCAUGACGAAUCCGGCCGGGAGGUUGGGUUCCAAAGCUC